UACGUAGGGGGCAAGCGUUAUCCGGAUUUACUGGGUGUAAAGGGAGCGUAGACGGUUGUGUAAGUCAGAUGUGAAAGCCCGGGGCUUAACCCCGGGACUGCAUUUGAAACUAUGUAACUAGAGUGCAGGAGAGGUAAGUGGAAUUCCUAGUGUAGCGGUGAAAUGCGUAGAUAUUAGGAGGAACACCAGUGGCGAAGGCGGCUUACUGGACUGUAACUGACGUUGAGGCUCGAAAGAGUGGGGAGCAAACAGG
rnacentral:rRNA from 1 species